rnacentral:rRNA from 1 species
GAAAUGCGAUAAGUAAUGUGAAUUGCAGAAUUCAGUGAAUCAUCGAAUCUUUGAACGCAUCUUGCACUCCUUGGUAUUCCGAGGAGUAUGCCUGUUUGAGUGUCAUUAAAUUCUGUCAAAACAUGUACUUGAGUGUGUGUGUUUUGGAUUGUGGGAGUGUUUUGCUGGCUUUUAUAAAUAUAUGAGCCAGCUCUCCUGAAAGACAGUUAGCUUUGGGGGGGAUGUGUCAAAUCACUUCUGCCUUUCUAUUGGUGUGAUAGAUGAAUACACUUAUCUACGCCAGGAAAGCAGGUUGCAAGUGUGAAGCACUUUGAUCUCUCUGCUCUCUAAUUGACAUUUGUCUGAUAACUUGACCUCAAAUCAGGUAGGAUUACCCGCUGAACUUAA